UUGUACUGAAGUAUUUGUGUGACACCAUGUAUGAUUAAUGUGCACAUCAAGUUUUGUACACAUCUAUUAUAUUAUACGCAUGGUACAUGUAACGGUGACUAUGCUAACGAUGACGCUUAUAUGUAGAGACAGCCGGAACGCUCGGUUGCUGAAGGAUGGUUUUAACUUGAAUGUGUUCUCUCAGGUGCUCCGACCUGGAAAAUGACUGAUCUGCAUGUAAAGUAGUACGAGCAAAACGCCAAAACUGUCUAUAAGUUGAGGACGAUCUAAAUUUACACGAUUCCACACCGCUUCAAUAUAGGAAUACUAAGGAGUUUGUCAUAUCUCGAUGCGCUCGAGAUACGCCGUGUUGCUUGAAAUAAUACGUUUAGCUUCUUCCCUUUUUGGAUUUCUUGAUAUUCUUUUAAAUAGCCAACAAACUUCGGAUGCGACCAAUCACAUCGUGUUAAAUAAAUCAUUAGAAGCGAGAGGCUUAGAAGCUUCAGGACCUUGUCUCGAUGCUUCGUUCGCUUGCUUUUUUUCGACCAACAGGCAUACAUAGUUGCAACAGAACCCCAAACUCGAAGCAGAGCAAUGAAAAGCAGAAUCAAUCGUAGCUGGUGCUGGAAAAAUAGGACAAAAACGAGUCAUCUCGUAACAAACGAAUGAAGGCGCUACUUCGUGUAUUCGAAUAGCAAAGACCUCUUCAAGACAUUCAGGCAAGAAAGUCCCAAGGGAUGUCUCCGUCUAUCCAGAGUAAACUAGAUAUUUUCAGCAAUAAUACAAGCUAGGUAUAGUUCUGUUAUCAAAAUAUGCAUGUCCUGAAAUAAUCACGGGGCACACCGUAAAUAAAGCAGUGUAUGGCAUGCGCUGGCUUACUUACCAAAAAGGAGGUGGCCGUUCGUCUAAAAUGGACAGACGUACUCGAGACACUUCGAUCUAUCACAAAAUUACUACCUAUCGACUGCAUACGGCCCACAUCGAAUAAAAUUUAUUUAUUCACAGACGAUUAACUUGUAUCUCUUAAAUAAAAUUAUUAUAGCUCGGAAAGGUCUACUAAGUGUCACAAACGUAUAGCAGAGUCAUAACGACUUUAUAGAAUCGGCUAAGGUUUGACUGAGUAUAGCCGAACGUACAGAACCAGCUGUUUUAUGUUGCUUUG